rnacentral:misc_RNA from 1 species
GACAGAGGGCGCAAGCGUUGUUCGGAUUUACUGGGCGUAAAGGGCGUGUAGGCGGAUGUGCAAGUUGGGGGUGAAAGGCCAGGGCUUAACCCGGGACGGUCUCCCAAAACUGCACGUCUAGAGAAAGUCAGAGGCAGGUGGAAUUCCAGGUGUAGAGGUGAAAUUCGUAGAGAUCUGGAGGAACACCGGCGGCGAAGGCGGCCUGCUGGGGCUUUUCUGACGCUGAGGCGCGAAAGCGUGGGGAGCAAACAGG